rnacentral:tRNA from 1 species
GGGUCUUUAGCUCAGCUGGGAGAGCGCCUCCAUGGCAUGGAGGAGGUCGAGAGUUCGAGCCUCUUAAGAUCCACCA